rnacentral:rRNA from 1 species
UACAGAGGUCUCAAGCGUUGUUCGGAUUCAUUGGGCGUAAAGGGUGUGUAGGUGGCGCCGUAAGUCGGGUGUGAAAUUUCGGAGCUUAACUCCGAAACUGCAUUCGAUACUGCGGUGCUUGAGGACUGGAGAGGAGACUGCAAUUUACGGUGUAGCAGUGAAAUGCGUAGAUAUCGUAAGGAAGACCAGUGGCGAAGGCGGGUCUCUGGACAGUUCCUGACACUGAGACACGAAGGCCAGGGGAGCAAACGGG